UGAAUGAGGAAUUUUUUCUCUAUUUUUCACGCUGCUGUCGUGUCACAUCAAAUCGAUUAUCUUUCACUCAACUCUUUCUCUCUUCACCAAAUUUUGCCACUUGGCACAAAUUUAACAGUCCCUAUUUUCUAUAAAUAGGGACCCUUUCUUCCAUUUCCUUACCACUUCCAUUCCAUUCUUCUAUCUUCCAAGAGUUUAGAGAGAGAGGGAAUGAUCUAGAGGGAGAAUGAGAAAAAAAAGAACGGUGUAGGAAAACUUUGAGGUUUCGGUAAGAAAUUUAGUAUUUCUUUAAAUAUCUUAAGGAGUAUUUCUAGAAAAUUUUAUUAUGAAGUCUGUGUUUUGUAUUUUGCAUGUUUU
rnacentral:lncRNA from 1 species